AGCCAGCAUAAGGAGGAGCUGAAGAAGACACUGUUCCAGCUGCAAAGAAAGCAGGGGAAGACUCACUCCUGGUCUCCAAGAAAAGAACUAUGAUUGAAAGAAGAAAGAAGCAGCAAAGCAUCCAGUAGCUGACCUCCUAGGAGGCUCCAGGCCUGGUAUCUCAAAGACCUGUUUCACUUGGUGUCUCUGACAUGGCUUCAGGGGGACCAGUAGUGACUGUCACUACUAGGCAGUGCUGUCCGGCACUCCUGGUGACAGGUGACAAGUACACUGCUUGUACUUCUGGGGGACACUAUCAGGAGAGAGUAUCAGGUUUCCAGUUGGCGGUAACAAGAGUAUUCAACUGACUGCAAUUAUAUUUCAAAAAAUCUUUCUGAAGAUAACUGAGGCUCUCAACCAGGGCCAUCAAAAGAGACACAGCGCCAUAUCUGAUGUGGUUGGUCCCAAGGUUAAGAACAACACUUCCCAUCAAGAUCAACUGAUUUUUAAUUGUGUA